rfam:Tyto alba contig106527, whole genome shotgun sequence.
AAAUUGGCUUUUUUCAAAGCCAUAGCCAUUUUACAUAAUGCUGGCAG